UAUAAUUUUUCAAAUUUCUCUGAAAAAUUAUUGUUUUGUAGCAUUUAUUGGGGAUUUGAAAGCUAAAUAUUUUGCAAGGAGGAAUGUAACAACUGAAGAGAUUGCUAAUAGUUGUAUUCCUGUCUGUAUUGAUGUAAUUAAGAUAGAACCAGUGAAAAUCCGGAGAAGUCAGUCGAAUUUCAUGAGCUACACCUGGUUCGUAUUACGAAAUAGUGUUUACUGUUGUGUUUAAAUGUAUACGAUGUGUGCAUGAUCAUUUGUUGCCUGGUUAAGACAUAUUCUACAUUUAGGCUAAAGUGAAUUACGAACGAGAAUAAGCACGCCCUCGGGCCUUAUGGGAUGAAGCAGACAAUGACGAAUAUAUUGACAAGAGUGAUUCGGAAGUAAGUGAAGAAAUAGACAAUGUUAGUGUAAGUAGUGACUAUACUGACCAGCUUCAAGGUGUUGACGUUUCACAUAUCACAGACAACUAAAGGUACAAGAGCGAGGCAGCUAUAUUAAAAAACAAAGAAAUGGCAAAAUUAACUCGAAUAAGCCAUUGUCAGCAAAGACUCGUAAUGAGGAAUGUGGAUGUUAUAAAUGGCGUAUGUUUUCGAACUGCAUGUUUGUUUUG
rnacentral:lncRNA from 1 species